GUGCCCCUCCUCCGGGAGGGCGAGGCGAGAGGCACUCGCACCCCCGGGCGGGCAGCCCUGCCGCACCUCCCCGCGGGCGGCCGGGCGGGCCGCGGCUGGGGCGGUGCCGCGCCGCUCUCUCCACGCCCGCUGGGUGCAGCCGCGUCUCUCCGGAGGAUCCUUCACAGCUCCCUGCGCCCGCCGCCGGCGGACGAGAGCGGGAGCUGCGGCGGGCGCUCACCCUCAGGCGGGCCCCGGGGCGGCGGCAUGUCGGCGGAGAGCGCCUGGAGAUUAACCCUUCUGUAAAGCUUUGUGGAAGAUAGAUGUUUGUGCUGCAAUGGUGACAUAAAUCUUUCAGAGGACUGGAACAAGUUGUUGAGAAUCUGUGUUUGUGUCUGUUGAGAACAAUCUAAGGCAAGUAAACAACAUGAGUUUUAUCAUGAAACUUCACAGACAUUUUCAAAGAACAGUUAUUUUGCUGGCCACUUUUUGUAUGGUGAGCAUAGUUAUUUCUGCGUACUACUUGUAUAAUGGCUACAAACAGGAAAAUGAACUUUCUGAAAUCUCUUCAGAAGUGGAAUGUGGUGAUCUUCAACUGUUGCCAUACAAGCUGAUGGAGAUGAAGACCAUGAAGCCCAUUGAUCCCCUGAGGACAGAUCUUGUAGUGCUGGUGUUUGUGGAAAGUCAGUACUCAACAUUAGGCCAAGAUAUAAUAACCAUUUUAGAAUCUAGCAGAUUUCAGUUUCACAUUGAAAUUGCGCCUGGGAAAGGCGACCUCCCAGUGCUUAUAGACAAAAAUAAAGGCAAAUAUGCUCUCAUAGUGUAUGAAAAUAUUGUAAAGUAUGUGAACAUGGACUCUUGGAACAGAGGCCUUCUAGAUAAGUACUGUAUAGAAUAUGGUGUAGGCGUUAUUGGAUUUCACAAAGGCAAUGAGAACAGCUUACAGAGCUUUCAGUUGAAGGGCUUUCCUUUCCAUGUCCACAGCAAUCUGGGUAUUAAGGACUGUUGCAUUAACCCUCAUUCCCCACUGCUCCAUGUGACUAAAUCUUCUAAGCUUGAGAAAGGUCCCUUGCUUGGAAAUGACUGGGCAGUCUUCCAGAUUAAUCAUACAGCUUAUCAACCAGUGAUAUUUGCAAAAGUAAAGACACCAGAAAACCUUUCACCACCUGCUGCUAAAAGUGCUCUCCAUGCCACAGUAAUUCAUGACCUGGGGCUCCAUGAUGGGAUUCAACGAGUCCUCUUCGGCAAUAACUUGAAUUUUUGGCUGCACAAGCUGAUUUUCAUAGAUGCCAUCUCUUUCCUGUCUGGAAAGAAGCUCAGACUGUCCUUGGAUAGGUACAUUCUGGUUGACAUAGAUGACAUCUUCGUUGGGAAGGAGGGAACAAGAAUGAACACCAACGAUGUACAGGCCCUGCUUGACACUCAGAAUCUUUUGAGAGCUCAGAUUACAAAUUUUACUUUCAACCUGGGAUUUUCAGGGAAAUUUUAUCACACAGGCACUGAGGAGGAAGAUGAAGGCGAUGACCUGUUGUUGAGGUCUGUAGAUGAGUUUUGGUGGUUUCCCCAUAUGUGGAGUCACAUGCAGCCUCAUCUCUUCCACAAUGAGUCGUCACUGGUGGAGCAGAUGAUCCUCAACAAAAAAUUCGCCUUAGAACAUGGCAUUCCAACGGAUUUGGGCUAUGCAGUGGCUCCACACCAUUCUGGGGUCUAUCCAGUACACGUCCAACUUUAUGAUGCCUGGAAAAAGGUCUGGAAUAUCAGAGUUACUAGCACAGAAGAAUACCCACAUCUGAAGCCUGCAAGAUACAGACGAGGCUUCAUCCACAAAAAUAUCAUGGUGCUUCCUAGGCAAACUUGUGGCUUAUUUACCCACACCAUUUUCUAUAAAGAGUAUCCUGGAGGCCCAAAGGAACUAGACAAAAGUAUCCAAGGAGGAGAGUUGUUCUUCACAGUGGUUCUCAAUCCAAUCAGCAUCUUCAUGACACAUUUGUCUAAUUAUGGAAACGACCGCCUGGGGUUGUACACCUUUGUGAACCUGGCCAACUUUGUUCAUACCUGGACAAACCUGAAGCUGCAAACUCUUCCUCCAGUUCAGCUGGCUCACAAGUAUUUUGAACUAUUCCCUGAGCAAAAGGACCCUCUCUGGCAGAAUCCCUGUGAUGACAAACGGCACAGAGAUAUCUGGUCUAAAGAAAAAACCUGUGAUCGAUUGCCAAAAUUCUUGGUUGUGGGACCCCAGAAAACUGGUACCACAGCCUUAUAUUUGUUCCUGAUCAUGCAUCCUUCGAUCAUUAGUAACUCCCCCAGCCCAAAAACCUUUGAGGAGGUACAGUUCUUUAAUAGAAAUAACUACCACAGGGGGAUUGAUUGGUACAUGGAUUUCUUCCCCACUCCUUCCAACGUCACCACUGACUUCCUCUUUGAGAAAAGUGCCAACUACUUCCAUUCUGAGGAAGCCCCUAAACGAGCUGCUUCCCUCAUCCCCAAGGCCAAGAUCAUCACCAUCCUCAUCGACCCAUCCGAUCGGGCAUAUUCCUGGUACCAGCAUCAGCGAUCACAUGAAGAUCCUGCAGCUUUAAAAUUCAGCUUCUAUCAGGUGAUCACAGCUGGGCCCCGAGCCCCAUCUGAGCUCAGAGCUCUCCAAAAGAGAUGCCUCACACCUGGAUGGUACGCCACCCAUAUUGAAAGAUGGCUAACUUACUUCCCACCAUAUCAGCUCCUAAUUAUUGAUGGACAGCAGCUGAGAACUGACCCAUCUACCAUAAUGGAUGAAGUGCAGAAAUUUCUGGGCGUCUCUCCUCAUUAUAAUUACUCUGAAGCUCUAACAUUUGACUCACAUAAAGGUUUCUGGUGUCAGCUCCUGGAAGAGGGAAAAACAAAGUGUCUUGGAAAGAGCAAAGGUAGAAAAUACCCUCCUAUGGAUUCUGAGUGCAGGGCUUUUCUGUCAAGCUACUACAGAGAUCACAAUGUGGAACUGUCAAAACUCCUACACAAAUUGGGACAGCCCCUGCCAUCGUGGCUGAGACAGGAGCUACAGAAAGUAAGAUAGCAUUGAGACACGGCUUUUGGAAAUCUCUCUCCCAUGCUUCAGUCAUCAUACCUAAAGUCUCCAGUAUCUACCAAGAAUUUUUUGUAAGAUAUAUGUCUUCAAAAAAGAGUAAAAGAAAUUAUUUCCAUAUGCUGGCAUGUGGAUUGUGAAAAUACAUGUGUUUCUUAGAGCUCUGGUGGGCCAAAUCUUUCUCAUAAACUUUUCUGGGCCUGUGGACUUGUGUACUGCCGUGCACAUAUGUGAAAUUAUUUGCAGCUGGUAUAAGCUUCAGAGAUACAUGACCUGUCCAAUUUCAUGAACUCUUCUAUUUAAAUACGUUCCUACAUUUAACAGGAGACUAAAAAAAUACAGUGUGACUUUUAACGUGCAAUCAACUUGGUGAAGAAUGGAGUCUGAGCAAAGCAUGCAGACAACAUCUAGAUGUGUCAUUCCCCAAACAAUAGGAUGCACAUCAGUACAGCUGAAUAAGCAAGUCAUACGACAUGGAUUAUCUGACAGAAGUUUAACCUCUAUUCACAGUUUAGCUACAAUCGGUAUUUGAUUUCCACAAAUAGACUAUCAACAUUAAUACUGUUAAAAAAUACUGACCCAUUACAACUAAUUUUUAUUUGCUAGUCAAAGUCAGAUGUUUUAUAGUGGUUGGUAACACAGCCAUGGUUUCUGUUCCCCUGGUAGAUAACUGCACAAGCAAUUUCUUUAACAAAUGCUUGAUGAUGUGAGCUUCACAUUUAUUUUCAUAAACAUGAUUCUGAAAUUUGCUUUCUGCAGACAUCUGUGCCAUUAAAAAUCAAUGUGUGAUUAUGAGCAGAAAGUGACUGUUCAGGGGUGUAAACACAGAGCCUGAUAUGAAUUCACUUAAUUAUUUGAGCAAACAUUCCUGAAAAUACUGUGAUAUUUUCCCAGUUCUACUUGUGCAGAAAGAAUUUGUUUCAAUGAUUUGCAGACUAUCUUGUACAGAAUAUCCUUUUUCAUUGCUUAAAAAUGUGAAACUUCCUCAGGAAGAAAUUAAAUAGAUAUUUCAAUGUUUAUAGAUGUAAUACUCUUGUCAUUCACAUUGAAUGAAAAUUGCUGGAAACAUUUUUCUCAAAGUUUUUUAAAAUAAAAAAUAUAUAUUAUUCUCAUAGUGGCAUGGUAUCUGAAGUGCAACAAUAAACUCUGAUAAGAAAAUA